rnacentral:tRNA from 1 species
GGUGAAAUGGCUGAGGUAUAGGCGGUAAAUUGUAAAUUUAUUAAGGAAAUUGUUUUCUUUCACUA